rnacentral:rRNA from 1 species
UACGGGGGGGGCAAGCGUUGUUCGGAAUUACUGGGCGUAAAGGGCUCGUAGGCGGCCAACUAAGUCGGAUGUGAAAUCCCCAGGCUUAACCUGGGAACUGCAUCCGAUACUGGAUGGCUUGAAUCCGGGAGAGGGAUGCAGAAUUCCAGGUGUAGCGGUGAAAUGCGUAGAUAUCAGGAGGAACACCUGUGGUGUAGACAGCUUUCUGGACCAUUGCUGACGCUGAGACACGAAAGCGUGGGUAGCAAACAGG